AUCGCCGAUGGAGCAAUAUAACAACGCCUGCCACAGCGCAUAUUGUUCGGCAAAGCGAAUUGAGGACCACGAACAUAAACUCCAUUCAUAGGACUCUUCUCCAAUCACCAUCGCACUUCCAACACCACUCUCCGUUCUAGACCCGUCAGUAUAGAUGAUUUCAUACGAAGGAUAUUCAUUACAUAUAUCUUGGAAUUUCUGUAUAUAAGUGUUACUGUUUGUAGUUGACUUUUUGUAUUUCGCAAGUUCCGUUCUUAUUUCGACUGCAGGAGUCAUCCACGGUGCAAACUCUUGUGUAGUGUUUUCCAGAAUUUCCGGAAGAGCGAUACCUUGCAAUUGAAUAUCCUCAUAAAACCUCACACUUGCUGGUCUAGUAAUAGUAGGUCGCAUUCUAUAAGCAUUUUUAUCCACACUGAAAAUUAUGCUAUUAGGGUGACGGGGUAAUGACAGUAGUUUAGCCAUGUAACAGUAAGUUAACUGUUUUCUUCUCGUAUCAAGUGGUGAAAUUCCAGAUUCGCAAUGUAGGCUGGCUACCGGACUCGUAGGAAAUGCUCCUAUACAAUACCUUAUAGCAGCAUGCUGCACAGGAUCUAAUAUUGUCAGUAACGUUUUACGUGCCGACGAAUAGGCAAUGCUACCAUAAUCCAUUUGGGAUCUUAUGAGCGCUUGAUAAAUUCGAAUAAGGCAGUUAGCAUCUGCACCCCACUUGGUAUGCGCUAAUACUUUAAGUAUGUUGAGACUGUUGACGCAUUUAGUCUUCAAGUGCUCUAAAUGAGUUCUCCAAGUAAGGGAUCUAUCAAACGUGAGACCAAGGAACUUAGCAGCUUCCGAGCAUCUGAUGUUAUGGUUCGUCAGAUAUAACAUAGGAUCAUAGUGUGGCCUUCUUAACCUGCAAAAAUGGACGCAUUGUGUUUUUUCGUGUGAAAAACUUAAACCUAUAUUUUCGGCAUUCCCAACAAUUUGAUUGAUUACAGGUUGUAGUUUGCGAGUUAUUUCUCCUACCGUUUUCCCUGAUGUGAAGAUGGCUAUGUCGUCAACGUACAUGCAUUUAGAAAUGUUUUCUGGUGUAUUAGAGCAUAUGUCAUUUAUUGCUAUAGCAAAUAGAGUACAGCUAAGAGUCGAUCCCUGAGGAACUCCAUUCUCCAAAAGCUUAUCAUCGGAGAACUUAUCACCAACUCUUACACGGAAACGCCUGUUUGUUAGGAAGGACUUCACUAACAAUGGUAAGUUACCUCUCAAGUUAUAUUGGUACAUUUUUUCUAUUAUGCCAUACCUCCAUGUCAUAUCAUACGCGCCCUUCACAUCAAAGAAAACAGCCACCAGAUGUUCUCUUUUGCGGAAUGCCUCUUGUAUGCAGUGCUCUAAAAUAAUCAGAUGGUCGGUGGUAGAUCGGUGUUUCCUGAAACCAGCCUGAUAUGGCACUAGGAAGUUGUUUUUCUCCAAAUACCACUGUAAUCGAUUAUUUAGCAUCCUCUCCAUGAUUUUACCCAUGCAACACGUCAGACUGAUUGGUCGAUAACUAGUUGCAGACAAUGGAUUUUUUUUGGGUUUUAAGAUUGGUAUCACCACUGCUUCUUUCCAUUCAUCUGGGCGUCAGAUUCUUCAGCAUCUCGUUUGCUAUCUGGUCAGGUCCAGGUGCUGUGUUCCUGGCCUUUUGUAAAGCAAACUCCAUCUCCAGCAUUGUAAAAGAAAAGGUGGGGGGAUAGUUUCCGGAGCUACUAACUACUGCAAACUGAUUGGCCAAAGCGUUCGCGAUUUCUUCUGGUUUUUCC